CUUUCUUUGCUGGCGACCGGCGCACGGGUGAGUAACACGUAUCCAACCUGCCCUUUACUCGGGGAUAGCCUUUCGAAAGAAAGAUUAAUACCCGAUAGCAUAAUGAUUCCGCAUGGUUUCAUUAUUAAAGGAUUCCGGUAAAGGAUGGGGAUGCGUUCCAUUGGGUUGUUGGUGAGGUAACGGCCCACCAAGCCUUCGAUGGAUAGGGGUUCUGAGAGGAAGGUCCCCCACAUUGGAACUGAGACACGGUCCAA
rnacentral:rRNA from 1 species